rnacentral:tmRNA from 1 species
UAACUUGCGAAAAGCGAAAAGGGUGGGUAAAAUAAACGUGUGAGGCGAUGAAUGUCGCCGGGACUAUAGCAAUAAACGCUCUGUGGAAUAAACGGGACGGACCCGGGGGCAGAACCCGGCGCCUCCACCUAAGGAAAUCACCGGUUUUCUUAGGUGGGGGUGAAUCAGGAUCGACGUACGCAGUAAAGAUAGAGUUUUUGCUCGGCAUGGUACCACCGUUAUCGGACUAAAAAAAACAAAUGGAACCAAUGAUAAUGGUCCAGCUGUAAGACUUGCAAACGAUAAUGUUCGUUUCGCAAGUGUGGUUCUUGCCGCGGCUUAAUGGUCGUUGUUUUAACCUUUUAACAGCGCGGUUUCCGAGGGCACCGGGCAACAGAAGCCCUCGGGCU